AUAACAUUGUAUGUUAAAUAAUUGGAAUUAAAAUUAAAACUUAAAAUCUCUUCCAUCCAGAUAGACCUGGAGAAUGUCUUCAAAUAUUCUCUCUCUCUCUCUCUUUCUCUCUCUCUCUCGGAAAAUAUAGAAAUGCAGUUUAAUCAGAAAACCCAAUCUUAUGUCUUCCAUGAGGGGUGUAGCCAUGGACCUGUCUCCAAAUUGGAGUUGAGUGAAGGGAAGGCACCUUAACUCUGGAGAUCCAGUGUGAAUCCUCCAAGAACAUGCUGUGUUCACAUUUUCCAUGGACUUUUAUUGGUUCCCUUAGAUGGAGAGCAAGACGGAAACAAGGUGAGGGCAAGAACUUGUUCUGGAUACCAGCCCACAUUUCAUGGGAUGACAUAAAGUUCCAGCCUCACCUCCUCCAGGAAGCCCAGAGGUCUCUGGUCUAACUGACCUCAUGUCUUCAAAAUCUGGCAGCUCCUGUCGGACAGAAUGAAUAAUAUUCUAUCUGGUGCUGCCGACAUUGUGUGUGGUGAAUACACAUCUGCAUUAUGAGAGCACAGAUUCAUGUUCUUACUCUUUUCUAUCUUGUUUUCUGCAUAUGGCAAAUGAGGAAAAGGCUUGGAAAGAAGUCAGCUCCCAAGCAUCCAAGGAAAAGCGGACUGGCAGCACGGCAGUCCCAGGCCCGAAGCCGCAGCGCAAAGCCGCAGUCAUCCGGCCAGUGCGGAGCUGCGGGAGGGCGGGGGAGUCGGGGCCUCCUCCACCUGGUCCCGCCGGCUGCACUAGAUGACCUCCCAGACCCGAACACCUGCGGAUUCACCCUGAGACGCGGGCGACAACAGCUGCAGAGGAGGGGAGCAGGAGGGCGGGGCGGGCAGGAGGGCGCAGAGCAGCUGGGCAGGGAGGCCCACAGCGGGGGGGGGGGGGGGGGGGCGGGCAGGGGGGACGGGGCAGGGGCGGGGCGGGGCGGGGCGACCGAGUACCACGAGGGCUGCAGGCGGCUGGGCCCUAAACCUCGCUCCGGGUCCUCCCAGCUGAAAAGUGCUCGGCGGGGAACAGGGCCGACUCCGUGCUCCCGGGGGCAGGAGAGGGCAGGGGCGCCCCGAGAGUGGAGGCUGGGGGUGCAAGGGCCGGGCCUCCCGGGAGAGUCCGCGGGCUGCGCCCAGGGCACCAGGCCCCCUCGCCCUGCAGCCUGGGGGCGGGCGGAGCAGGGCCGUGGUCCGCUCCCUUGGGGGGGGGGGUCCCUGCGCGGACGCCGACCUGGGGCUGCUGCUGGGCGCCCCGACGGGGGCAGGUCGUCCCCCUGCGCCUCCCCGAGCACCCACGCCAGGGCGCGGGGGAGAGGGCGCGUGCGGCCCGCAGCUGGACAUCUGCCGGCGCCGUCUUUAAUGUUUGUCUUCUUUCGCCUUCACCUGGGACAUGUGUGGCCUCACAGGAGGACAGCUGGCGCCGAGCCCAGCACCUGGCAGCUGGGCCAUCUCCGGCACAGACACCUGGUUAUCAGCACAGCGCAUCCCUCUGCCCGGAGAACUGGGGAAGAACAAGGGAAGAGCAAGCUCACUGACCAGGCGGCGCUGGGAAGCUCCCGGACCGAGAGAAAAUAG
rnacentral:lncRNA from 12 species